rnacentral:rRNA from 1 species
GAUUAAGUUAUUAAGGGCGCACGGUGGAUGCCUUGGCACUAGAAGCCGAUGAAGGACGUUACUAACGACGAUAUGCUUUGGGGAGCUGUAAGUAAGCUUUGAUCCAGAGAUUUCCGAAUGGGGAAACCCAGCAUGAGUUAUGUCAUGUUAUCGAUAUGUGAAUACAUAGCAUAUCAGAAGGCACACCCGGAGAACUGAAACAUCUUAGUACCCGGAGGAAGAGAAAGAAAAUUCGAUUCCCUUAGUAGCGGCGAGCGAAACGGGAAGAGCCCAAACCAACAAGCUUGCUUGUUGGGGUUGUAGGACACUCUAUACGGAGUUACAAAGGACGACAUUAGACGAAUCAUCUGGAAAGAUGAAUCAAAGAAGGUAAUAAUCCUGUAGUCGAAAAUGUUGUCUCUCUUGAGUGGAUCCUGAGUACGACGGAGCACGUGAAAUUCCGUCGGAAUCUGGGAGGACCAUCUCCUAAGGCUAAAUACUCUCUAGUGACCGAUAGUGAACCAGUACCGUGAGGGAAAGGUGAAAAGCACCCCGGAAGGGGAGUGAAAUAGAACCUGAAACCGUGUGCUUACAAGUAGUCAGAGCCCGUUAAUGGGUGAUGGCGUGCCUUUUGUAGAAUGAACCGGCGAGUUACGAUUUGAUGCAAGGUUAAGCAGUAAAUGUGGAGCCGUAGCGAAAGCGAGUCUGAAUAGGGCGUUUAGUAUUUGGUCGUAGACCCGAAACCAGGUGAUCUACCCUUGGUCAGGUUGAAGUUCAGGUAACACUGAAUGGAGGACCGAACCGACUUACGUUGAAAAGUGAGCGGAUGAACUGAGGGUAGCGGAGAAAUUCCAAUCGAACCUGGAGAUAGCUGGUUCUCUCCGAAAUAGCUUUAGGGCUAGCCUCAAGUGAUGAUUAUUGGAGGUAGAGCACUGUUUGGACGAGGGGCCCCUCUCGGGUUACCGAAUUCAGACAAACUCCGAAUGCCAAUUAAUUUAACUUGGGAGUCAGAACAUGGGUGAUAAGGUCCGUGUUCGAAAGGGAAACAGCCCAGACCACCAGCUAAGGUCCCAAAAUAUAUGUUAAGUGGAAAAGGAUGUGGCGUUGCCCAGACAACUAGGAUGUUGGCUUAGAAGCAGCCAUCAUUUAAAGAGUGCGUAAUAGCUCACUAGUCGAGUGACACUGCGCCGAAAAUGUACCGGGGCUAAACAUAUUACCGAAGCUGUGGAUUGUCCUUUGGACAAUGGUAGGAGAGCGUUCUAAGGGCGUUGAAGCAUGAUCGUAAGGACAUGUGGAGCGCUUAGAAGUGAGAAUGCCGGUGUGAGUAGCGAAAGACGGGUGAGAAUCCCGUCCACCGAUUGACUAAGGUUUCCAGAGGAAGGCUCGUCCGCUCUGGGUUAGUCGGGUCCUAAGCUGAGGCCGACAGGCGUAGGCGAUGGAUAACAGGUUGAUAUUCCUGUACCACCUAUAAUCGAUAAAAGACAGGGGGGACGCAGUAGGAUAGGCGAAGCGUGCGAUUGGAUUGCACGUCUAAGCAGUAAGGCUGAGUAUUAGGCAAAUCCGGUACUCGUUAAGGCUGAGCUGUGAUGGGGAGAAGACAUUGUGUCUUCGAGUCGUUGAUUUCACACUGCCGAGAAAAGCCUCUAGAUAGAAAAUAGGUGCCCGUACCGCAAACCGACACAGGUAGUCAAGAUGAGAAUUCUAAGGUGAGCGAGCGAACUCUCGUUAAGGAACUCGGCAAAAUGACCCCGUAACUUCGGGAGAAGGGGUGCUCUUUAGGGUUAACGCCCAGAAGAGCCGCAGUGAAUAGGCCCAAGCGACUGUUUAUCAAAAACACAGGUCUCUGCUAAACCGUAAGGUGAUGUAUAGGGGCUGACGCCUGCCCGGUGCUGGAAGGUUAAGAGGAGUGGUUAGCUUCUGCGAAGCUACGAAUCGAAGCCCCAGUAAACGGCGGCCGUAACUAUAACGGUCCUAAGGUAGCGAAAUUCCUUGUCGGGUAAGUUCCGACCCGCACGAAAGGCGUAACGAUUUGGGCACUGUCUCAACGAGAGACUCGGUGAAAUCAUAGUACCUGUGAAGAUGCAGGUUACCCGCGACAGGACGGAAAGACCCCGUGGAGCUUUACUGUAGCCUGAUAUUGAAAUUCGGCACAGCUUGUACAGGAUAGGUAGGAGCCUUUGAAACGUGAGCGCUAGCUUACGUGGAGGCGCUGGUGGGAUACUACCCUAGCUGUGUUGGCUUUCUAACCCGCACCACUUAUCGUGGUGGGAGACAGUGUCAGGCGGGCAGUUUGACUGGGGCGGUCGCCUCCUAAAAGGUAACGGAGGCGCUCAAAGGUUCCCUCAGAAUGGUUGGAAAUCAUUCAUAGAGUGUAAAGGCAUAAGGGAGCUUGACUGCGAGACCUACAAGUCGAGCAGGGUCGAAAGACGGACUUAGUGAUCCGGUGGUUCCGCAUGGAAGGGCCAUCGCUCAACGGAUAAAAGCUACCCCGGGGAUAACAGGCUUAUCUCCCCCAAGAGUUCACAUCGACGGGGAGGUUUGGCACCUCGAUGUCGGCUCAUCGCAUCCUGGGGCUGUAGUCGGUCCCAAGGGUUGGGCUGUUCGCCCAUUAAAGCGGUACGCGAGCUGGGUUCAGAACGUCGUGAGACAGUUCGGUCCCUAUCCGUCGUGGGCGUAGGAAAUUUGAGAGGAGCUGUCCUUAGUACGAGAGGACCGGGAUGGACAUACCUCUGGUGUACCAGUUGUCGUGCCAACGGCAUAGCUGGGUAGCUAUGUGUGGACGGGAUAAGUGCUGAAAGCAUCUAAGCAUGAAGCCCCCCUCAAGAUGAGAUUUCCCAACUUCGGUUAUAAGAUCCCUCAAAGAUGAUGAGGUUAAUAGGUUCGAGGUGGAAGCAUGGUGACAUGUGGAGCUGACGAAUACUAAUCGAUCGAAGACUUAAUCAA